rnacentral:lncRNA from 1 species
UUUUGGGCGAGGCACGGCUUUCAAACUAGACGUCGUAAAUAAAAACAAAUUAACAGUUUUAAAAUAUAUAAAAGAGAGAAAAUGAUCCAUAAUAGUGAGCCACCGAGAAAUUCCAAGUCACUAGAGUUUCAAAUGGAGCGAUGAAAGAGAAAGAGAAGGAGAAAGAGAAAGAGAUAGUUUGCCGGUUUUAGAACUACCCCUCCCUCGGUACACUCACUUUCAGCCGAGCUGACUCAUACCUCAACUAGUUCAAUUUCAACUUCUCUCCCGUAAUGGAUGGUAAACCCUAAAUUCUCUAAUCCUCAUUUAAUUUCUUAUCAGUCUGAUUUGUAAUUUUACCGAAUAUAUAUAUAUAGCUCAAUUGACUUACAUUUGUUGCUAUGCCCUAAUUUAAUGCAAUUGUAAGGAUUUGGAUAAUCAAAUUCCUUACUGAGCUCAAUUUAUGGAGAUCUGUGACUUAGAAGAGAUUUAGAGAGAGAGAGAGAGAUAGAUAGAGAGAGUUCAGAGCAGUGGCGGAACCAGAACAAAAUUUGAGGGGGUCAAAAUUUGAGGGCGGUUACCGGAGAUCCGGAUCAGCGAGGGAGCGGAGUUAAAGUCUUUGGAUUUGAUUUUGACCCAGAUUGAAAAAAAUGAAAAGUAUAUUAGCGGCCCAAUGCAUACUGACCAGGUUGAUCGGUAUAUGGAAUAUCAUUAAUAUAAUUAAUUAAAAGAGUAUAUCAUAAUCAUCAGAAUAAUGUAAACUAUUUAAUAUACAAACUUAUAUUAUAAACAUUGCAUUUUAAAUACUACUAAUAUUUUUCGCACCACAAAUUUUAUUAUCUUUAAUAUUCUAAUUUUAUAUAUCAUACUGUGGAGUGUGGAGUAGCAAUAUUAAAAUUGUGCAAAAAUAUUGGAGUUUUCAAAAACCGACAAAAACCUAAAUUGGCAAAAGCGUAAAUGUGACUUAAAACAAUGGGUAAAAGAGAUCAACUUAAUUCUUAACAUGAAAUAAUAUAAUUUGAAAGAUAUAACCUAAAUUAGAAUUUAGAAAUUACCAAAGUCCAAUAUUAGAGUUCACCCCCUUCCUUCCUAUCAAAUCAUCCAACAUUACCCAAAAGCCCAAAAUUGCAAAAACUAUCUGCCAAAUUCUUCCUAAAAGCAGCUCUCUUCUGAAAUAAAGUGGGUUGUGCUCCAACUGAAGGAAAAUUUUCAAGCCGCUUCAACAACUUAGACCUAUUGAAAAACAAAGAAUUCCCAUCCCCAGGAUCAAAACCCUGGAACCCCGUUGAAUCAAAACCAGCACUGAUUGCACCACUGUUUACAGCCAAUUGAAGCAAAUGGGCUGUUGAAAAAUGAAGAUCUGAACUUAAAUUGGAAGUACCCAUAUGGCGAUAUGGGGUUGAGAGCUUAAAUUGCUGAAUUCAGUCAAAAUCCCUUUUCCCCUACAUUUAGAGGAGAAGCAGGCAGAGGCAGAACUAGGAGCAGCGACCGCCGGCAGGCAGAGAGGCGCCGGGCUCGGGCUGCGCGGCAGUCGGCAGAGGAGGCAGCCAAGCAGGAGCAGUCGCCAGUCGGCAGUCGGCAGUCGGCGGAAGAGGCGAAGAGCAGAGCAGUUAGUGAAAAGAGGUCCUAAAUGAAAUUGCCUAAUUCUUCCUACCUGAUAAGAUGAUAUAAAUUUUUUUUUUUUUUUAAUGAAACGACGUCGUUUCAUGUGACUUAAAAAAAAAACCCUGUGUUGCAGACUAGAUCGAAGAAGAAGCAGUAGCCGCCGCUGAAGCCUGAAGGAGACGCUGGAAGGCCGAAGGCCCGGAGCAGUGGCUGCCCC